rnacentral:miRNA from 1 species
GAGGACUGGGUCUUUGCGGGCGAGAUGAGGGUGUCGGUUCAACUGGCCUACAAAGUCCCAGUCCUC